GGUACUUGUAAUGUGCAUAACAAGCAUAAAAUUUCAUUUGGUUAUGCUGCACUUAUGCGUUCAGUCGCUCGCGAGUUUUGAUGAGACUGCUAAAUGUGAUCGUUGGAUUGAACGACUGUGAGUGGAGCAAAAUGCAUACGAACACAUUCCUGUUGCGACCGUUCUACAGUUCAGACGAGUGUUCCAUACAGUAUUUGGUGCUGUAAAACUCAGAGCUUUCACACGAGAACAAUGUAGCGGUUUGGUUCGAUCCAGAAUGGAAAAACGUGUCGUGAUACAAAAGUAUUCAGUUCUAUUCGCUCUCGAUCGCUGGUGUGCAUAAUCCAUUAGCUAUGAUUGUGAUUCAAUUGCCGGAUGUACGUGUGUGGAAUGUAUUUCAAACGACUAUCGAAAAGCUGUACUGAUGUUUUGAAGGAUUUUGAAGGAAGGAAUUGUUAUCUGGAAACCAUAAACUGCCUUCAUAAUGACUACCCUGAUGCGAUCACGAUUGCUAUCCGUACUAAAGGACGUAACGGUAGUUACGCUGAAGAUGAAACCAGGGACCUGUUGGAGGAGAGCUCGUCAGACGUUUCUUAUACGAUCGUGUUCUUCGCACGCUGCUGCUCCCUAUGGUCCUGCAUAUCGACGAGAUGACCUAAAAGAAGCCUUGCCUUGUAAACUAGCGCUUAGGGUAAGGACUGCGACUUACCAAACCGUUGUGUCCUUGGAGGAGAAAGGUGGAUAACAGCGCCCUGCUGCUAUGACCGUCGAAUAUGAGUCCGUCGCUAUUUGGAUAAACACUGGUUAACAUUGACAGUUCAUCAUAAUGCAACACGUGCAAGUAAUGGGAAGUUAUGAUGGAAAAACUUUCGAUGCAAGGAAAUGAUGAUAUUUUUCCAAGUAAUUACAAGCCAUAGCUAGCCAAGCAUUGUUUUGGAUGUGUGUUUG